rnacentral:tRNA from 1 species
GGUGACAUAGUGUAUAUAAGCACGUCAGAUUGCAAACCUGAAAGAGUGAAUCAUUCCCUGACACCU